rnacentral:rRNA from 1 species
GACAGAGGGUGCAAACGUUGCUCGGAAUCACUGGGCGUAAAGGGCGCGUAGGCGGACAGCUUAGUCAGAGGUGAAAGCCCAGGGCUCAACCUUGGAAUUGCCUUUGAUACUGGCUAUCUUGAGUUCGGGAGAGGUGAGUGGAAUGCCGAGUGUAGAGGUGAAAUUCGUAGAUAUUCGGCGGAACACCAGUGGCGAAGGCGACUCACUGGCCCGAUACUGACGCUGAGGCGCGAAAGCGUGGGGAGCAAACAGG